AACUUCCCCAACCCUGCAGUGCCAGAGAUGAUAGAAACAGAAGUCCUUCAUAAUCUAGCUACUGGUAAAGGCUUUUUGAAACAGAGCUCAAAAGUACCCCGUUCUGGCGUAACCAUGGCAACAGCCUCCUGUGCUGUCAACAUGGCGGACGAAGAAAACACACUAACUGUGAGGAUAAUUUACUUGCUAUGAAUUGGAAUUACAAUGGUAAACCGAAUAAAAUCUGCAAUGUCUUGGAUAUAACUAGCUGGGAUGUUUGUUGUUAGCAGUGUAAUAUGUCUAGAAACGUUUUGCUUAGCAUUCUCCAGCUCUAGCUAGCUGAAAACAUAGCAGCUAGCUAGCGACUAGCUUGUUAAUGCUAGCAAAGUCGUUACAGCAGUAAUUGUUGACGUUACAGCUCCGUAUGGGGCCAUGGCUAAAAGGGAUGGAAGGUUGGAAGGUUUUGCAUUUUAACUAACCUCUUUCCUAAUCUUAACCUAAUUGUCACAAAAUGCUACAUUAUCACGUUUUGCUUAGCUAGAUAAUUAGCUGAACUCACGAAAUUAAUGUCAUAACGUUAUUUUUCGAAAUCAAGGGGUAUGCCUUUAUUCCAUCUGUCGAUAAUUAGUGUACAUUCAAAUAGUUCAUUAAUGACGACCAAUAUUACUGGACGCCACAAGCAGAUGUGAAGUCGUCAUUACUAGUCGGCGACACGUUGUUAUUGUUGGACAGCAAACAUGGCGGAUGAAAGUGUUGCUGUGGAGCCAGCCUUCUUAAUGUACUUUCGUUGCUGCAUUUGGUAAAUAAUGCUGUAGUAAAAUUGCAAUAGAGCAUGCCGAGUCUACUUUCUAGUAGUCAGAAUAAUUUCACUCAAAAUAUACGCCUGAGCAGACAACGAUAUGACCUUGAACGACAGCACAGACAACGGGUUUUGCGUUUACGCGCUACACCCACUAUAUGUACUGAAGAAAGAAGCAGCAAUCGAGGUGUGGAAGCGGGGUCGAAGACGCGGUGAAGAUGUUGGCAGUAUGAUGUUGACGGUGAUCAAUGGCGCAAACAGUUCCGCAUGACUCAGACCACAUUUGAACACCUUGCACAGUUAGUAGAGUCUGGGAACUAAACAGACCACCAAUGUCUGAAACACAAUUGAAUACCGUCGAAGGCUUGCUCUAUUUUUGUGGUGGUGUGCAACACCAAGCGAGCACCAGAUUAUUUCAAGUUUAUUUGGAGUCGUUGUCUCCACAGGUGACUGCAGCUGUCGUGAAGACAAGUACAACCGCUUUAUUUCGCUACCCGGUGGUAAAGGCAUCCUAGCCACCAUCUGUGGGUUUAAGCAACUUGGGUAUCCGCAAUGUGCUGGUGAUCAUCGGUGAGACACACAUCCCCAUCACUGCCCCAAAAUCAUAUCCAAAGGACUACUUGAACAGCAAAGGGCAGCAUUAUUCUGUGUUGCAGGCCAUUGCUGAUCACAACCUCAGAGUUCUGCGAUUGUCAUUGGUGUAGAGAUGCCAGUUCAUCCGGUAGGAGACCCAGCGUACCCACUGAAGAGGUGGUUAAUGACAGGCUUUUCCCAGGACACAUCUCUGAAUAACCACCAGCAGAAGUUUAAUGACCACCUGAGUUCUGCCAGGGUGGCUAUUGACGACGUCUUAGGACACUUGAAGGACACUCAGAGAGAUGUUUGGUGAAGUGCAUCGACGUUAAGUUGACGACAGACACUGUAACGGCUUGUUGCAUACUGCACAAUGUGUGCAAACUGAAGAAAUAAUUGUUUCUGGCUGAAUGGAACCGGAACAUCAUUGGCCAAGAUCAUCAGCAGACAGAGGCUAAGCUCACAGAGCAAGACCAUAGUUUACUACAAGGGCCAGUGGAGGAAAGUGUUGCUACUGUACGGGAUGCAAUUAUGACCUCUUUACAUGACCCCAUCAUAACCGUGCGCGGUGCUCAAGUUGUGGCUAUGCCAAAAAAUAACAUUUUGUAACAAUGUGAAUUUGCAGUGCAACAUUUAAAACAUUUUUUUUUUGCUUGAAUGAUAUUUCCUUUUGCACAGUACGUUUUCAAGAUGUUCGUGAAUGUUAUUUACAUUUACAUUUACAUUUAAGUCAUUUAGCAGACGCUCUUAUCCAGAGCGACUUACAAAUUGGUGCAUUCACCUUAUGACAAUACAUAAACUAUACAUCUGAAGCAUCCAUUCCAUCCAAACUUCUCUCCUGUCUUCAGGUUCAGGAAUUUCAGCGGAUGCUUGUGCCUGCACGCCAUUCCAAACACACCAGCUAUGUCCAGUUUCUGGAUUUUGGAUUGCAGCACAUCCCCGGCUAGAAAUCCUGGGCACCCCUGUUUAGGUGCACAUGUUAGACUUUGUAUUUGUAUGAUUUUUUUUCACGUGAACGUUGUUACAUUACUUUAUACUUAAGAUGUUUUUAUGUGAAUGCUUUGUUCUUGGAAGAGCUCCUCAAUAAAUGGGUUUUAUGAACAUGUG